rnacentral:rRNA from 1 species
ACAUAUCAAUAAGCGGAGGAAAAGAAACCAACAGGGAUUGCCUCAGUAACGGCGAGUGAAGCGGCAACAGCUCAAAUUUGAAAUCUGGCCCUUUCAGGGUCCGAGUUGUAAUUUGUAGAGGAUGUUUCGGGUGUGGCUCCGGUCUAAGUUCCUUGGAACAGGACGUCAUAGAGGGUGAGAAUCCCGUAUGUGACUGGUAGCCUAUGCCCAUGUGAAACUCCUUCGACGAGUCGAGUUGUUUGGGAAUGCAGCUCAAAAUGGGUGGUAAAUUUCAUCUAAAGCUAAAUAUUGGCCAGAGACCGAUAGCGCACAAGUAGAGUGAUCGAAAGAUGAAAAGCACUUUGGAAAGAGAGUUAAACAGUACGUGAAAUUGUUGAAAGGGAAGCGCUUGCAACCAGACUUGCAUGUAGCUGAUCAACCGGUGUUCUCACCGGUGCACUCAGUUGCGUUCAGGCCAGCAUCGGUUUCGACGGUUGGAUAAAGGCCUUGGGAAUGUAGCUCCUCUCGGGGAGUGUUAUAGCCCAGGGUGCAAUGCAGCCUGUUGGGACCGAGGACCGCGCUUCGGCUAGGAUGCUGGCGUAAUGGUUGUAAGCGACCCGUCUUGAAACACGGACCAAGGAGUCUAACAUCUAUGCGAGUGUUUGGGUGUCAAACCCAUACGCGUAAUGAAAGUGAACGGAGGUGAGAACCCUUAAGGGUGCAUCAUCGACCGAUCCUGAUGUCUUCGGAUGGAUUUGAGUAAGAGCAUAGCUGUUGGGACCCGAAAGAUGGUGAACUAUGCCUGAAUAGGGUGAAGCCAGAGGAAACUCUGGUGGAGGCUCGCAGCGGUUCUGACGUGCAAAUCGAUCGUCAAAUUUGGGUAUAGGGGCGAAAGACUAAUCGAACCAUCUAGUAGCUGGUUCCUGCCGAU